CACGUAGGGCGCAAGCGUUGUCCGGAAUUAUUGGGCGUAAAGAGCUCGUAGGCGGUCUGUUGCGUCCGCUGUGAAAACUCGGGGCUUAACCCCGAGCCUGCAGUGGAUACGGGCAGACUAGAGGUAGGUAGGGGAGAAUGGAAUUCCCGGUGUAGCGGUGAAAUGCGCAGAUAUCGGGAGAAACACCGGUGGCGAAGGCGGUUCUCUGGGCCUUACCUGACGCUGAGGAGCGAAAGCGUGGGGAGCGAAACAGG
rnacentral:rRNA from 1 species